UUUGGUAAGCAAGUGAAAUAACAAUGUUGACAUUUAAAAUAUAAUCACUGGCAUCUGAUACAGCACCCACAUGGGACAGGUUCACAUUCCCCUGAAUUACCAUUUCAGGUGCUAGUUUAAACUGCCGUCAUUUUUAAACUGCGGCAGCCGAAGACUUGUUCUGUGCUUAUUCAUUCAUAAUUCAUUCUCUGAAAUGCCUUUCUUACUUCUACUUGGCACGAAGUAUCUGCUUUUUGGCCUAAAGGCAUCUUUGUUUCAGUUUCCAGAUCCCUGUGAUAGGAGUGGGGAGGGGGAAAAUGGUAGGUUCAGAAACAGCCCAACGCUCAAGAAGCCUAAUGGGCUAAGGGAAUUUAGCAAGUGUAAAAGAGAUGCUAAGUCACAACUUGAAGCAGUGACUGAGCACCUGCUGGGAAGGCAGGGCCAGCCCCGGGGAGCUCAGGUGUAUGCAAUGCACCUGAGUGACCAGAAGGGGUGGAGCCAGGAUCCACCCCUUCCCAGACCUCAUUGAAGGGUUGGCAGUGGAGGCAAGGGGAUCUUGUUGGUGAUCUCUAUGCAUCUGAGGCCUUCUGAAGCUGAAGGAUAACUUGCAGUUGUUCACGCCCAGGCUUUGCUGCUGGCAUGCCCGCCGUUCUUCCCCAGAAUCUGCAUGUUACGACAUCAGCUGGAAGUUCAGAGCCUUGGUGUAUUUAGUCGAGAUAUUUUCCAGUGGAGCGCUGAUAACUGCUUCAUCCACGCUCCAAUCUGAAUACUGGCAAUGGAAGUUAUGGGGGGUGCACAGCCUAGGACUGGUAUACAAACGAUGCAAAUAACUAACACUGCAAAUGGAGCUCCAUCAGAAUGGACCAAUUAGACAUCGCACUGAAGAGAGACUUGUGGAACAUCAGGAAUAAUGAGCCAAUCCAGCUAAACUUCAACAGCGAGGAGAAAAAAGGAACCUCUUGAGAACGGCAGAUUGAGAAAUGACUGCAUUAAAUACAAAAAGGGAUCCUACAAAACUGAUUCCGUCCCUGCACGGAGCCGUGGGGUGGGGGCAGGGAGCUGGGCAUGGCUGGGAGCUGGGCAUGGCUCAGCAUGGAGGGCGCCUGCUGCUACUCAUGUGUUCAUGAGAACGUGUUGUUGGCCUGGCAUACGGCAGGAAUGGCUUAUUCGUUAUAUACCACGUCUCAUGGCUAAUUGUUUUGCACCUAUCUGAAGUGGGGGAGGUGGCCCCGCUGCAGACCACUGGGGUUUGGCAGCUGCAGGUCCUGUUCCUGUAUCGUUAUGGGUCAGCUGGGAGCAGACUUUGAAUAUCAGGAGAUGCAGACAGGCACCGAAUGGGGUUCCCAGAAGCUCCGGUGCACAUUGAUCUCGCACCUCCCUGCAGCUCUCAGGGCUCGGGCACACGCAGGGAUCCAUCCCUGGGAUCCGUGCGGCAGCGCAUCCCAGCACAGCUUCCACUGGAGAGCCCUCAGCCAACAUAAAUCACCGCCACCGGUGGAGCUGUGCUGAUUUGCACCGCUCACAGACUUUAAAUUAAAAUUUAAUUGAAAACUUAAGCUGUCAUUAGUUUUCAAUGAAUGGCUUUUGCAGGAAUGCAGCCGCUCUGCACCCGCUGGGUCUCUGGUGCAGCAGGGACACGUCACAGCACCACGGCUGCUGUGCUCUGAUCCCCACCUCUACCUUCCCCUUCAGCACCGUCUGCUGGCACGUUCCCUGCGAUCCCUCUAUUGGAAGAUGGGUGAUUUCCAUGCAAAUCUCAUUAGUUACCUUCAUCCCCUAGUCUACAGUGUAAUUGACUUUCUGGGACCUUGACUGGAUCGUGGCUUCCCCAGCUGGCCUUCUGUUAGACUGCAUCUUCCAUUCAGUGUUGCCCUGGAAAUGAAAGCAAAGAGCAACAAUUUACAAGAUAAGUGUGUAUACCUCUGUGUGCGUGCACCUGUGCAUGAGGUCCAACACAAAUACAUAUGCAUACAGCAGUGUAUUUAUUUUAACCCCGUAACAAAUUGAUCUUGAGCCUGGACAAGGACUCCCGCGUGCCACUGGCAGCAGGCAGAUUGCUCACCUGGAUUUCUCUGGGAAGCAGCUGCAUUCAGGAGAAUUCCUGCGUGCAGGUAACACCACGUAACACCAGGUCUGCUCCCCCCCCCAAGGAUGCUUCAUUCCGUACCCAUGUGAUUUCCUUCCCCAUCGCUUAACCCCAAAUUAAAAUCCUCGUGGUAAAACUUCGGUCUCUGCAUAGUAUGGAGGUGUGCUUGAGGAAGAGCCCUUCCCGUAACCAGCUGACUCCGUUAGCGGGGCAGUGGGCGCUCAGCUCCCUCCGUUCAGCACCGUCCCUGCUCUGCAAAUGAAGAGAAGUGCUCUGGGCACACAGGGCACAGGAGGGGGCACAGGACAUCUUCUGAGUAAUGUAUGGAAAGCACAAAUCUCAUUAAGCCGUAAUCACCGACGUGUCAGGGAAUCGCGGGUGCGGCAGCUACAGUGCAGCUCAGUGGGCACUACAGACACAGCACCGGAGCCAGGGGCAUGUGUUGUUCCUGGUGUGUGAGAAGGCCGAAAGCUCCUGGAAUUCCCCCAGCUGGCUGGGGUUCAAUGGACCAUUCAAUAAAACGAAUGACCCAGACCACCCGUGCGUGAGCUGUUACGCUCUCCAAGCACUGAGUGUCUGCAAUUACGCAGAGCAGCGCUGUGCCCCACGGCCGCCCUCCUGGAGGCAUCCACACGGCUGAACCCUGCUCAUACUAACCACCCCGAGCUGAUCUGCAGCUCAGACUCCCGGUUCUGACCCAAACACUCCCGUUAGACCUCGAGCCAUUACAGAUAAUCAAUUUGCAUUAAAGGUCUGCAGUUCUCAGCAGUCAGUUUGCUCCUUUGCCUGCGAAGUUUUCCUGGGCCCCUCUGCAGGGUGACCCUGUGCUGGCGAGCUGAGUGUGCAGUGAGGGGCUCUGCCCUUGGGAGGGGGGAACAGAGCAGUGAGCAGCUGA